UGGCCUCAAAUUUCCAAAGCCCCCUCUCCUUCCCUUUUUGCCCUAGUUUCUUGAAACUAACACUCGCCUUUCUCUUUCCCUUCAUGCACAAAGAUGGAACCUGACGACUAAGAACCUGCGAUUAAGAACAAACGCUCUGAAGCAAUAGGAAACAAUUGGAGUGAAGAAUUUCAUGCUUUGCAAAAACCCAAUAGUUUAGGAAUUUUAUCCCUUUUGCAAGAAAAAAGCUCUUCUUUUUGAUUUUGUGAUUCUUGACACGGGUUUGGUUCGAAGUUGCUUGUUUUGUUGGAGAUCUAGGGUUUAGACUUAUGUUCAUCGAGUUUCUUUUAAUUUAGUUAAAUUAUGUAUUAUCCUUGUUCAAUUUCUUUUAAAUUAAUUAAGUAUAUUGCAUUUAUUUUGAUUUUCAAGUGGAUUUUAGAUCUGUUUUUUUAUUCCCUUCAAUUAAAGAUUUGGAGCUUAGCCGUUUUGAUUCAACAGUAAAGAAAAGAAAGGAACAAUGGGGUUCUGGUGUCGCUGCAGUUGCAUUUAACCCUACUUAUUGAAGUUUCACUAAAACAAUGUGAUCGCGGUUCCAGAUGCUAAUUUUCAUUCUCUCCCUUCCACUCGGCAAAAACAACAAUAUAUCCUUAGAUUAGAUAACAUGACUACUAGAAGGUACAAAUAUCAGGAGGCGAGAACAUGUGUAAGAUUAUCAUGUGAUAUGCUGGGAAAAGGAAUAAGUCAACCCCGGUAAAUAUUGGACAUAUUACAUGUCGGACGGUAAACAGGGUGAUAUAGGUUUCCACCCGUCGCGCGCCGCCGCAACGCGCGACAGGCAAAAUCCUAGUUUGUUGAAAACUAAAAUCUAAGUCGGAGAUGAAGUUUUCCUCAAAAGCAUUCUAAACUCUACCGAGACUGUAGCAAGACUGUAAGAGGAAGGGUCUAGAGCUUGGACCCAAAUGAUCUAGUUGGUGGUACAGAGAUUGAACCAGAAUGGUGUGAGGUAAACGUUCAAGUACCGAUAAAAAAAGAUGAAAACUUGGUAAGACCAUAUGGUUUAUUUUCUACAAUUCAAGAUUGUAUUGGUGCAUCCAUCGCAUGGCCGUAUCCAUUCAUCUCGGUAGUCCAUGAGGAUUGAGGACGCAUGAUGACUCAAGAUUUUAUGCUUCUUUUUUCUUUAAUUGCUUAAUUUCUUUGUUAAAUGUUAAGACUCUAUGUCAGAUAAUGUUAUAACUUAUUUAUGGUUGGUGUUUUUGUUAUGAACAUGCUUAUUUGAAAUAUAAUGAAGUUUUAUUUCUUUC
rnacentral:lncRNA from 1 species